rnacentral:rRNA from 1 species
AGUGAACGCUGGCGGUAGGCCUAACACAUGCAAGUCGAACGGCAGCACAGUAAGAGCUUGCUCUUACGGGUGGCGAGUGGCGGACGGGUGAGGAAUACAUCGGAAUCUACUUUUUCGUGGGGGAUAACGUAGGGAAACUUACGCUAAUACCGCACACGACCUACGGGUGAAAGCAGGGGAUCUUCGGACCUUGCGCGAUUGAAUGAGCCGAUGUCGGAUUAGCUAGUUGGCGGGGUAAAGGCCCACCAAGGCGACGAUCCGUAGCUGGUCUGAGAGGAUGAUCAGCCACACUGGAACUGAGACACGGUCCAGACUCCUACGGGAGGCAGCAGUGGGGAAUAUUGGACAAAGGGCGCAAGCCUGAUCCAGCCAUACCGCGUGGGUGAAGAAGGCCUUCGGGUUGUAAAGCCCUUUUGUUGGGAAAGAAAAGCAGCAGGUUAAUACCCCGCUGUUCUGACGGUACCCAAGGAAUAAGCACCGGCUAACUUCGUG